rnacentral:lncRNA from 1 species
GAGACAAAAACCCCAAUCCUUUAGGGAGAGAAUUCCCAGGAAUCGGGAAUUCCCCACCUCUGGCGCUUGUGGGGCAGGAGAGACAAAACCGGGGCAGGACAGAAAAACCCAAAUCCCUUAGGGAAAGAAUUCCCAGGAGCAGGGGAGACAAAAACCCCAAUUUUUAGGGCAGGAAUCGGGAAUUCCCCACCUCUGGCGCUUGCGGGGCAGGGGAGACAAAAACCCCAAUUUUUAGGGAAGGAAUUCCCAGGAAUCAGGAAUUCCCCACCUCUGGCGCUUGCGGGGCAGGGGAGACAAAACCGGGGCAGGACAGAAAAACCCAAAUCCCUUAGGGAAAGAAUUCCCAGGAGCAGGGGAGACAAAAACCCCAAUUUUUAGGGAAAGAAUUCCCAGGAAUCAGGAAUUCCCCACUUCAGGCGCUUGCGGGGCAGGGGAGACAAAAACCC